CACCAGCUGUGGAUAUUACAGGCCAAACUUUGGACACCCUAGGACAACAUCCUUAGCACAGAUCUACCUAUAGCCCUCCAUCAUUCCCACAUCCAUCUUGCAACAGUUUCAUUAAGUGCAGUCCAUAACCAGUUCACGGUCUACACCUUGUCCAUUGCAAAUGUUAUGGAUUAUUCUAAUAGAGAUCUUUCUAUUAUUUUUUUGAGACUGUUAUUAUGUACUCUGUUAUGUUGUGAAUAAAGUCAAC